rnacentral:rRNA from 1 species
GAGCGAACUUNUGGGAGCUUGCUCCCAAAAAUUAGCGGCGGACCGGUGAGUACACGUGGGCAACCUGCCUAUAAGACUGGGAUAACUUCGGGAAACCGGAGCUAAUACCGGAUAAUUCUUUUCUACACAUGUAGAAAAGCUAAAAGACGGUUUACGCUGUCACUUAUAGAUGGGCCCGCGGCGCAUUAGCUAGUUGGUGAGGUAACGGCUCACCAAGGCCACGAUGCGUAGCCGACCUGAGAGGGUGAUCGGCCACACUGGGACUGAGACACGGCCCAGACUCCUACGGGAGGCAGCAGUAGGGAAUCUUCCGCAAUGGACGAAAGUCUGACGGAGCAACGCCGCGUGAGUGAUGAAGGUUUUCGGAUCGUAAAACUCUGUUGUUAGGGAAGAACAAGUAUGAGAGUAACUGCUCGUACCUUGACGGUACCUAACCAGAAAGCCACGGCUAACUACGUGCCAGCAGCCGCGGUAAU